rnacentral:rRNA from 1 species
CCUACGGAAGGCAGCAGUGAGGAAUAUUGCGCAAUGGGGGCAACCCUGACGCAGCAACGCCGCGUGAGUGAGGAAGGUUUUCGGACCGUAAAGCUCUGUCGAGCGGGAAGAAAUGCAUGGUGGCUAAUAUCCAUCAUGCUUGACGGUACCGCUAGAGGAAGCACCGGCUAACUCCGUGCCGGCAGCCGCGGUAAUACGGGGGGUGCAAGCGUUGUUCGGAAUUAUUGGGCGUAAAGAGCGUGUAGGCGGCUGGACAAGUCAGAUGUGAAAGCCCUGGGCUUAACUCAGGAAGUGCAUUUGAAACUGUUCAGCUGGAGUAAGGGAGAGGAAAGUGGAAUUCCUGGUGUAGAGGUGAAAUUCGUAGAUAUCAGGAGGAACACCGGCGGCGAAGGCGACUUUCUGGCCCUAUACUGACGCUGAGACGCGAGAGCGUGGGUAGCAAACAGGAUUAGAUACCCGGGUAGUCC